CAUGUAGGCGGCCUGAUUAGCGUCGUGUGAAAUCCCUCGGCCCAACCGAGGAAUUGCGGGGCGAACUGUCAGGCUUGAGGCAAGUAGGGGUGUGUGGAACCCUUGGUGGAGCGGUGGAAUGCGUAGAUAUCAAGGGGAACGCCGGUGGCGAAGGCGACACACUGGGCUUGUCCUGACGCUGAGAUGCGAAAGCUAGGGUAGCGAACAGGAUUAGAUACCCUGGUAGUCC
rnacentral:rRNA from 1 species